AGGGAAUUUUCCACAAUGGACGAAAGUCUGAUGGAGCAACGCCGCGUGAACGAUGAAGGUCUUCGGAUUGUAAAGUUCUGUUGUCAGGGACGAACAAGUACCGUUCGAACAGGGCGGUGCCUUGACGGUACCUGACGAGAAAGCCACGGCUAACUACGUGCCAGCAGCCGCGGUAAUACGUAGGUGGCAAGCGUUGUCCGGAUUUAUUGGGCGUAAAGCGCGCGCAGGCGGCUAUGUAAGUCUGGUGUUAAAGCCCGGGGCUCAACCCCGGUUCGCAUCGGAAACUGCAGAGCUUGAGUGCAGAAGAGGAAAGCGGUAUUCCACGUGUAGCGGUGAAAUGCGUAGAGAUGUGGAGGAACACCAGUGGCGAAGGCGGCUUUCUGGUCUGUAACUGACGCUGAGGCGCGAAAGCGUGGGGAGCAAAC
rnacentral:rRNA from 1 species